GCCGGCUCGGGGCCGGCAGGGGGGCGGGGCCUGGCAGAGGCAUGUGGCGGGGCCGGGGCCGGCGCUGCGCAGGGUUCUGCAGCCCUAGCUCCGCUUCCCUAGGAGCUGCGCCGGGGCCGCCUCUGACCGGGCCCAACACAUUCCUCCUGUCAGCAAGAAUGCAGUUAAGAGUGCAUGCAUUGUGAGUUUCCACCAUCAAAAGGAUUUUUGAGUCCAUCUGGACCCACUCAGAACUGCUGUGGAACAAGUCCAAGGGGAGAGGAUUUGGGGCCUGUGCGUCAAGUCCAGUAACAUGCUGAAUUGCUUCUGUGUACAGCAACAUCAUACCACUUUUUGGGACAAGAAAUCCAAGUAACUGCUGUAACCCAGUGCCAUCUUUAUUUGUAUAGGUUCUGAGUCAGGACAGCAUCUGAACAUAUGCAUAAUGCUGUCACAAUGAAGGUCAGUCUGAUUCAGAUAUUUGCUCUGUGUAGUGCUUAGUGGUCUGGGAUGGAAAGAGGUAAGGCCUUGAAGUAAAUUUAAGACUUUUUUUUAAAUUAUUUGUAGUGGGUGGUGUUUAGUCAACUGAUGUAUGAGGUUCUGUAUUCGGACCUUUGCUGUCAUUGGGAUUCAUAGGGGGUUGAUGCAAUUUUUGAAUUCUGUGUCCAUAGGGAAGCAAUAGUUACGGAAGGACUUUAGAAAGGAAACAAAUGUGAAAAUGUGGAUGUAACUCUUUUAAAUUUCAUACCUUUUGCAGCAUGCUUGUAAUACUGGUUCAUUUGUUUGGUUUUUGAUAGAAAAUUUUACAUCAAAAGCCUCUGCUUAAGGAAAUUUCAAUUACUGGGAGAGGAAAUGAAUUGCUUCUGCCAUUAGUAUUGUGCAUCAGUGAGGGCUAGAUGAGCCAUUCCUAAUGAAGACUGUAUUUUGGAAAUUGAGUUUUUCCUCUGUAAAUUUUCUCUCCUGUGAGAUGUAAUAGUUGAUAAAACAUUUUUUUGAUUAAAUUCAUUUUUUAUUUAAUCUGGUAUCUACUUGGUUACAAGAUAUAAUUUUGUAUAUUGCUUAACUUUGGAAGAUGCUUGGAGAACAGCUGGUCUCUUAAUCUGAAACCUACUAGGUGCUCACUAAAGGUGUUAAUUCCGCUCUCUGUUAGUUAACUUUCCUACCUGUCCUGGGACACUCAAAAGAUUCUUUGAGGCUUGUGGAUACGUUGGGUCAUAGCCUCAUGCGACAUCACUAAUCAAGUGCUUCAAGUAUCUUGCCUGGGACUUCCAACAAAGUGUGGAUCUAAUAGUCUUGAUUUUUUUC